rnacentral:rRNA from 1 species
CUAAUGACUCUCGGCAACGGAUAUCUCGGCUCACGCAUCGAUGAAGAACGUAGCAAAAUGCGAUACUUGGUGUGAAUUGCAGAAUCCCGUGAACCAUCGAGUUUUUGAACGCAAGUUGCGCCCGAAGCCAUCCGGCCGAGGGCACGCCUGCCUGGGCGUCACGCA